rnacentral:rRNA from 1 species
UACAGAGGUGGCAAGCGUUGUUCGGAAUUACUGGGCGUAAAGGGCGCGUAGGCGGCGCGGUAAGUCACUUGUGAAAUCUCUGAGCUUAACUCAGAACGGCCAAGUGAUACUGCAGUGCUAGAGUGUGGAAGGGGCAAUCGGAAUUCUUGGUGUAGCGGUGAAAUGCGUAGAUAUCAAGAGGAACACCUGAGGUGAAGACGGGUUGCUGGGCCAACACUGACGCUGAGGCGACGAAAGCCAGGGGAGCAAACGGG